rnacentral:rRNA from 1 species
CUACGUGCCAGCAGCCGCGGUAAUACGUAGGUCCCGAGCGUUGUCCGGAUUUAUUGGGCGUAAAGCGAGCGCAGGCGGUUAGAUAAGUCUGAAGUUAAAGGCUGUGGCUUAACCAUAGUACGCUUUGGAAACUGUUUAACUUGAGUGCAAGAGGGGAGAGUGGAAUUCCAUGUGUAGCGGUGAAAUGCGUAGAUAUAUGGAGGAACACCGGUGGCGAAAGCGGCUCUCUGGCUUGUAACUGACGCUGAGGCUCGAAAGCGUGGGGAGCAAACAGGAUUAGAUACCCUGGUAGUCCACGCUGUAGACGUUGGGCACUAGGUGUGGGGGCCACCCGUGGUUUCUGCGCCGUAGCUAACGCUUUAAGUGCCCCGCCUGGGGAGUACGGCCGCAAGGCUAAAACUCAAAGAAAUUGACGGGGGCCCGCACAAGCGGCGGAGCAUGCGGAUUAAUUCGAUGCAACGCGAAGAACCUUACCAAGGCUUGACAU